CCUACGGGAGGCUGCAGUGGGGAAUUGUUCGCAAUGGGCGCAAGCCUGACGACGCAACGCCGCGUGGAGGAUGAAGAUUUUCGGAUCGUAAACUCCUGUCGAGUGGGAAGCGGUACCACUAAAGGAAGCCCCGGCUAACUCCGUGCCAGCAGCCGCGGUAAUACGGGGGGGGCAAGCGUUGUUCGGAAUUACUGGGCGUAAAGGGCUCGUAGGCGGCCAACUAAGUCGGAUGUGAAAUCCCCAGGCUCAACCUGGGAACUGCAUCCGAUACUGGAUGGCUUGAAUUCGGGAGAGGGAUGCAGAAUUCCAGGUGUAGCGGUGAAAUGCGUAGAUAUCUGGAGGAAUACCGGUGGCGAAGGCGGCAUCCUGGACCGAAUUGACGCUGAGGAGCGAAAGCUAGGGGAGCAAACGGGAUUAGAUACCCUAGUAGUC
rnacentral:rRNA from 1 species